rnacentral:rRNA from 1 species
AUUGAACGCUGGCGGCAGGCCUAACACAUGCAAGUCGAACGGUAACAGGAAGCAGCUUGCUGCUUUGCUGACGAGUGGCGGACGGGUGAGUAAUGUCUGGGAAACUGCCUGAUGGAGGGGGAUAACUACUGGAAACGGUAGCUAAUACCGCAUAACGUCGCAAGACCAAAGAGGGGGACCUUCGGGCCUCUUGCCAUCGGAUGUGCCCAGAUGGGAUUAGCUAGUAGGUGGGGUAACGGCUCACCUAGGCGACGAUCCCUAGCUGGUCUGAGAGGAUGACCAGCCACACUGGAACUGAGACACGGUCCAGACUCCUACGGGAGGCAGCAGUGGGGAAUAUUGCGCAAUGGGCGCAAGCCUGAUGCAGCCAUGCCGCGUGUAUGAAGAAGGCCUUCGGGUUGUAAAGUACUUUCAGCGGGGAGGAAGGGAGUAAAGUUAAUACCUUUACUCAUUGACGUUACCCGCAGAAGAAGCACCGGCUAACUCCGUG